AACAAGUCAGGCGGCCAACUUAGCCCAUAAAGCUGGUAUUAAAACAUUCGCAAUAGGAAUCGGAAACUUAAUAUCCAUACAGGAACUUUUAAAUAUAGCCUCAGAUUCAAAACACGUGUUUUGUGUUUCCACAUUCGAUGCCCUUCACCUACUUCAGAAUGAGCUAAGAAGUAAAACUUGCGAAGCAUUAUCCCAAAGUAGUUUGAAUUGCUCUAACCAAAUAUCGAACUGUCAAAGCUAUGGUUCUUCUGUCUGCAUUACGUACGCCCAGUGGGGACGAGAUAAAUGUCCGCUGUACUGUGGAUACUGUCAAGCCCAAGGAACGUCAACGUCAGUGGCUCCUGUAACCACAACAACACAAGUUAGCACACCUGCCAUUAUUACUCAAGGUAU